rnacentral:rRNA from 1 species
GUCUUUUUGAUUAUAAUUUAAAGUCAAGCCUGCUCUAUGAAAUUUUAAAUGGCCGCAGUAUUUUGACUGUGCAAAGGUAGCAUAAUCAUUAGUUUCUUAAUUAGAAGCUGGAAUGAAGGGUUUAAUGAAAAAAAAACUGUCUUAAUUUAAAAAUUAAAACUUUAUUUUUAAGUUAAAAAGCUUAAAUUUAUUAAAAAGACGAGAAGACCCUAUAGAGUUUAAUAAAUUUAAUUUUAUAAAAUUUUAAGAUUUAAAUAAAUUAUAAAUUUAUGGUUUAUUUUAUUGGGGUGAUAAAAAAAUUUGUAAAACUUUUUAAAAUAUAAGUUCAUUAAUAUAUGAAAUUUUGAUCCUAAGUUUUAGAUUAAAAGAAAAAAUUACCUUAGGGAUAACAGCGUAAUUUUUUUUGAAAGUUCUUAUUGAAAAAAAAGAUUGCGACCUCGAUGUUGGAUUAAAAUUUAAUUUUGGUGUAGAAGCUAAAAUAUUAAGUCUGUUCGACUUUUAAAAUUUUACA